rnacentral:rRNA from 1 species
CUACGGGUGGCUGCAGUGAGGAAUCUUGCGCAAUGGGGGAAACCCUGACGCAGCGACGCCGCGUGGGUGAUGAAGGCCUUCGGGUCGUAAAGCCCUGUCGAGAGGGAAGAAUUGCAUUUAGGUUAAUAGCCUAAUUGUUUGACGGUACCUCCAAAGGAAGCACCGGCUAACUCCGUGCCAGCAGCCGCGGUAAUACGGAGGGUGCAGGCGUUGUUCGGAAUCACUGGGCGUAACGGGCGUGUAGGCGGCUGAGUAAGUCAGGUGUGAAAUCCCUCGGCUCAACCGAGGAAGUGCAUUUGAUGCUGCUCAUCUUGAGUACUGGAGAGGGAGAUGGAAUUCCCGGUGUAGAGGUGAAAUUCGUAGAUAUCGGGAGGAACACCAGUGGCGAAGGCGAUCUCCUGGACAGAUACUGACGCUAAGGCGCGAAAGCGUGGGGAGCAAACAGGAUUAGAUACCCUUGUAGUC